rnacentral:rRNA from 1 species
GGUUAAGCGACUAAGCGUACACGGUGGAUGCCCUGGCAGUCAGAGGCGAUGAAGGACGUGCUAAUCUGCGAUAAGCGUCGGUAAGGUGAUAUGAACCGUUAUAACCGGCGAUUUCCGAAUGGGGAAACCCAGUGUGUUUCGACACACUAUCAUUAACUGAAUCCAUAGGUUAAUGAGGCGAACCGGGGGAACUGAAACAUCUAAGUACCCCGAGGAAAAGAAAUCAACCGAGAUUCCCCCAGUAGCGGCGAGCGAACGGGGAGCAGCCCAGAGCCUGAAUCAGUGUGUGUGUUAGUGGAAGCGUCUGGAAAGGCGCGCGAUACAGGGUGACAGCCCCGUACACAAAAAUGCACAUACUGUGAGCUCGAUGAGUAGGGCGGGACACGUGGUAUCCUGUCUGAAUAUGGGGGGACCAUCCUCCAAGGCUAAAUACUCCUGACUGACCGAUAGUGAACCAGUACCGUGAGGGAAAGGCGAAAAGAACCCCGGCGAGGGGAGUGAAAAAGAACCUGAAACCGUGUACGUACAAGCAGUGGGAGCCUCUUAAUGGGGUGACUGCGUACCUUUUGUAUAAUGGGUCAGCGACUUAUAUUCUGUAGCAAGGUUAACCGAAUAGGGGAGCCGAAGGGAAACCGAGUCUUAACUGGGCGUUAAGUUGCAGGGUAUAGACCCGAAACCCGGUGAUCUAGCCAUGGGCAGGUUGAAGGUUGGGUAACACUAACUGGAGGACCGAACCGACUAAUGUUGAAAAAUUAGCGGAUGACUUGUGGCUGGGGGUGAAAGGCCAAUCAAACCGGGAGAUAGCUGGUUCUCCCCGAAAGCUAUUUAGGUAGCGCCUCGUGAAUUCAUCUCCGGGGGUAGAGCACUGUUUCGGCAAGGGGGUCAUCCCGACUUACCAACCCGAUGCAAACUGCGAAUACCGGAGAAUGUUAUCACGGGAGACACACGGCGGGUGCUAACGUCCGUCGUGAAGAGGGAAACAACCCAGACCGCCAGCUAAGGUCCCAAAGUCAUGGUUAAGUGGGAAACGAUGUGGGAAGGCCCAGACAGCCAGGAUGUUGGCUUAGAAGCAGCCAUCAUUUAAAGAAAGCGUAAUAGCUCACUGGUCGAGUCGGCCUGCGCGGAAGAUGUAACGGGGCUAAACCAUGCACCGAAGCUGCGGCAGCGACACUAUGUGUUGUUGGGUAGGGGAGCGUUCUGUAAGCCUGUGAAGGUGUACUGUGAGGUAUGCUGGAGGUAUCAGAAGUGCGAAUGCUGACAUAAGUAACGAUAAAGCGGGUGAAAAGCCCGCUCGCCGGAAGACCAAGGGUUCCUGUCCAACGUUAAUCGGGGCAGGGUGAGUCGACCCCUAAGGCGAGGCCGAAAGGCGUAGUCGAUGGGAAACAGGUUAAUAUUCCUGUACUUGGUGUUACUGCGAAGGGGGGACGGAGAAGGCUAUGUUGGCCGGGCGACGGUUGUCCCGGUUUAAGCGUGUAGGCUGGUUUUCCAGGCAAAUCCGGAAAAUCAAGGCUGAGGCGUGAUGACGAGGCACUACGGUGCUGAAGCAACAAAUGCCCUGCUUCCAGGAAAAGCCUCUAAGCAUCAGGUAACAUCAAAUCGUACCCCAAACCGACACAGGUGGUCAGGUAGAGAAUACCAAGGCGCUUGAGAGAACUCGGGUGAAGGAACUAGGCAAAAUGGUGCCGUAACUUCGGGAGAAGGCACGCUGAUAUGUAGGUGAAGUCCCUCGCGG